UCCGGAACUUAUCCGCGAGCCCAUCCGGGGUAGUGUGAUUCUAGCUUAACAAAACUCCUCGAUGUUGUAGAGACCGUAUAAGAAUUCUUCGCGUACAUUGAUUUUUGACUUAAUUUAAAAAAUAACAUGUGCUGUCGCUUAGAAAGAUAUCACAUCAUUGAACAACAUAAUUCAUAAUACAAUAUAUACAAAUGCUACAAGGUGGGAAGGUCGAAAGUAAAGAGUUCAAAAGUUAACCAUUGAGACGGGUUUAAGUAGAAUUCAACAAAAACGAUAUAUACGUAUAGACGUAUUGUAUCUUUUAUGUUUUAUUUUAAAGUAAACAAAAAUACUUAGAGACAGAGAAAUAUUAAGCACGUGGCAAAAGAAGAGACCGUAGACCUCAUUUUCUCUCAGAGUGAAAUUGUCUACGCAAAAUAUACAGGAUUUAUAGAAUUUAUUUAUUUUACACCGUAAGUCAAUUACUGAGACAGAAAUAUGCAUGUUCAUAUUUUGUUGGCUUUAACGCUGUGUGUGCGUAUUGCUGAAGGUGAAGUUGUGAAUUCGUUCAAUAAAUGCCGUUCAUUUUUCUACAAACGUUCGCCUCCUUCCGGUUUUGAGUAUGACAGCUCUCAGAAAUAUGUCAAAUGUACCAUACUGAGAACAGAUAUCAUUUUGCUACGUUAUACAGUUCCGAAGACAGAGUGCCGAUCUACUCAGCAUACACACUGGACACGUUUUAUUGCCCUCCGAAUCAACCAACCAGAAGAAGUAAAUGGUUUAUUGAACCACAGCUGUCUGGUCUUAUAUAUUAAAAACAUAUGACAACAGAGGGUAAUGCAGCAGACAGGCAUAAGACAGAACAAGCGAUUAACAUCAACUAUCCGAACACAAACUACGAUAGAGGCCACCUUAACCCAAGCUUUUACCAGUGUAACGAAGGCCGUACUGCUACUUUCCCACUCACGAACGCUGUUCCACAGGAUCCUUGCUUUAAUCAACAAAUAUGGAAAAACAUGAAAAAAGGUCCAAAGUAUUAGGGAAGCGAUGGACAUUAGAAUAUGAGUUUUUGUUUCUAAACUGUCUUAAAAAUUCCAAAUCAAGAAAAAAAGAUGCCCUCGUCGAGAAUCGAACCCGGGCCGCCGCGGCAAUAAAACCUUUUACGCUCUCUUUUACCAAUAACAGCAGAGUUUAAAAUAGAAGCUACACAUAGAAUAACAACCCGGUUAAAAAAGAUGCGAAAUGUAUCGUUGUUGAUUCGCAAGCGUUGAAUGGAGUUGAACACAGCCAGUGCCUUUAUCGUGAACAUUUUAUUCAACAGAUAUUUACUGAUAUAAUUUUGCGAUAAAAGAAGUCAUUUGGAUCUAUGUAACAAUAGAAUAUGCAGAGUUCCCCACAAGUAUGAUUUAUGCCAUUUCGAUUAUAAAGUGAAUUGUUUAAGGCAUUUUUCUCUUCAGGUACUUUGUAACUGGUGCUGUUCCGUCAAAAAAUAAAAUUCCCUCCGUAUUACUUGAUACUGAAGGAGAUCAAACGAGGGAAUAUAACAGAGUCAGUGUGCCGUCGGGAAUGUGGACUGCUGCCUGUUGUGACUCUUCAAAUGCAGUUAAUGCCGACGAUAGGGGUAAAGGUUUCUCUUUUGGCUAUUACGGUGACAAUGUUCCGGACUCCUACGUCUUUCCAUACACAAUUGACCUAUUAGAAAAAACACUUGCCACCAAAUAUAUGGUAAACACGUUGGAGAUUUUCGCUGACUCAUGUUACUCUUCGUCAAAAACCACUGGUAGUAGUUUUAAGUGAGUUGUCUAUCCCGGUAGAACGUAAAAUUGCAGCAACUUUCUAAUAUGGGGGAUUCUAGUGAGUCGUCACUACAACCUGCUAAAAGAACGUUUAUAGGAUACGUAAGUUCAAAUUUACAUGAUAACGAGGCUUUUGCUAAAAAUAACUGGAGACUCGCCGAUGUAGAUUUCGGAUUGAAAGAAAAACGGAGCGAUAUUCAGAGUACGCGCGAUUUGUUGGCGCUUUCUAAAAUGACGACUCUGUUAACAUGUGCAAAUAAUAACAAUUUUGGAAAGCGCGAAGUUCAAGACCUCACUAACGAAAAAGGUGACGUCUAUGUUGUUGUUCCGACUUUAGAGUCGACGCUCAGUGCUACUGGUUCCCGAUGCAGACAAGAUCACCCUUGCGGUUAUCACAAGAAAUCUUACCAAUGGUGCUAUAUCGAGUGGAGUAGCAACUGGGAUUACUGUUGCAUUGAUGCAUGCGGCUUUGAACAAAGCACGAGCUACGCGUGGUGCUAUACAAGUAAUUCUAAACACUGGGCGUAUUGUUCACAAAGAAGUUCCAUGAUAUCUAUUUCCGGUAAACAAUGUAGGGCUGACCAUGAAUGCGGGUUAAACGGUUGGUGGUACCACUGGUGUUACACAGAUACGAAUAACAACAGGGACUAUUGUUGUCAACCUUGGCAUGAGUGUGACGAUCAUGAAGAGAGCUAAUGGUGCUAUUAUAGCAACAAGAAUGAAAGCUCCUGGAAAUAUUGCCAUUACUGAUGAAAAAUUCUGGAACUACAUGUAUUAUUAAUAUUGAGGAAACAUAAUCGAAACAUUACUGUAGUUUAGGAAACAAUAAGGAAACUAAUGCGGAAGUUUCAUCAACGAAUCAGUUUUAUAGUAAAAUGAGGGAAAUAUCUUUGCAAUACAGUAUACAACAUUACUAGUGAAAUGACCGUGUCUGAGCCCAUAAACUUUAAGUCUAAAAAUUUAAAUGCUGGGAAACAUGUAUUCAAUAACGCACGUUUAUGUUUAUAUGCCAGUCAAACAACUUUUUAUGGUAACCAGUAGUUUACUUAAUAUUUACAAAUAAGAGCUGAUUUUCCUGGAAUUUUCUCUUCUUGUCCGCCAUUUUAUCUUCAGUCACGGAGGCUGCCGUAUUGGCCUAACCCAGCAACCCUCAACCAAUCAAACGAGCAAUAGUGAGCCAAAUCGUUCUAAGUAUACUUUUACCAAUUAAUAUGGCCCGUAGACCCCGAACUUCAGCUCCUUUGGUCUUAAAUAUUUAAAUUAGCUGAAUAAAUUACUUUUGGACAUCCCCUUGGCCAUAGCUGCCUCUUUUUUGUCAGAUACAAUUUCCUUGUAUAAUUUACGGUCUGUCACUGUAUAUAUUAAUAUUACCAUUCCAUGUGCAAUAAAAGUCCUUCUUACGCGUAUUUAGUAGGCUUAGAUCCCCAUUUUACGGUGGCACAGAGGUGACAUCCGCAACACUUUAUUUAUAUUGUGGCCACAACUUAGUAAAUCGUGGCUACAAGUCACUAAGUUGUGGCUACAACUUAGUAAAUUGUGGCCACAACUUAGUAAAUCGUGGCCUUAAUAUAAUAACUCGUGACCCCGACUUAUAUCAGCCGAUCGAAACUAUAAAUAGAUGGAUAGACGGACGGACAGAUGAAUAGAUUGGAUGGUACCUACGUACCUACCUACUUAUUUAUUUGUAAGCACUUCCGGCCGUCUAUCUAUUUCCCAUUCCUGUCUUACCCUUUGCAGAGACGUAAACAUUUUUAUGCGACCAUUUCGUAUGGUUGCUGAAUUCUGCCAUUUUGCGUUAUCUCCCUGCGACCCUUUCGAGCGAAAACACGAGAUUUAACGAGUUAAAAUGCGGGGACGCAGGCUGAAAACUCUCUAUUGAGUGGGGAAGCGGAGCGAAAACACGAUAAUUACCGGGGUCACGGGGUGAGAAUUAGUAGCUGGUAUGUCAGGGGUAGGGAGCGAAAACACGAUAAUUAAAGCUGCUUAAACGUAGUGUUUCCGAACCGUGCCCCGACAUCCUGUUACCAAAUUUCACUCCGCGAUCUUGUUAAUCAUCAUGUAUCUGCUCCUUGCCCCACUAAAUAGCGAGUUAUCACCCCGAACACCCACCAUUUUAACUUGUAAAUUUCACGUGUUUUCGCUCGGCGCGGUCACCAGGCGAAAACUCGUUACUGAAUGUUUAAGCAGUGCUAAUUAUCGUAAUUUGGCCCCACGCCCCAGACAUACCAGUUACUAAAUCGCCCUUGUGGGGUUUCGGCCUGCGUUCUCGACAUUUUAUCUUGCUAAUUCUCGUGUUUUCGCUCGACGGGGCCGCGGUGUGAAUAUAUAAUUUAAUUGGGCUAAAACGCGAAUUGGCAGAAUUUAGCAUCCUUAUAAAAUGGACGUGCAUAAAAGUGUUUAAGUCCCUGCAACGGGUUAGACAGGAAUGGAAGAUAGAUAGACGGACAGAAAGACAAAUAAAUAGGUAGAUAGGUAGGCACCAUCCAAUCCAUCCGUCCAUCGGUCCGUCCCUCCGUCGAUCCAUCCAUCUAUCUAUCUUUUAUUCCUGUUUAACAUUUGCUGGUACGUAGACACUUUUGUGCGCUCCUAUUUUGCACUCCUAUACAGCAGCGAAGAAAAAACAGUCGUUUCGAUUUGCUAAUUCUGUCAUUCCGCGUUUUAGCCCUAUUGAAUUACAUUUUCGUCCCGCGGCCCCGUCGAGAGAAAACACGAGAAUUAACAAGUUCAAAUGCCGAGAAAGCAGGUCGAAACCCCGCAAGGGAGAUUUAGUAACUAGUAUGUCUUGGGCGCGGGGCGAAAACACGAUAACUAGCGAUGCUUAAGCGUUUAAUAGCGAUUUAUCGCCUGGUGACCCCGCCGAGCGAAAACACGUGAAAUUUACAACUUAUAAUGGUAGGGGUUCGGGGUGAUAACUCGCUAUUUAGCGGAUGCGAGGAGCGGAAACAUGAUAAUUAUCAAGAUCGCGGGGUGAGAUUUAGUAACUGGAAUGUCGGGGCGCGGUUCGAGAACACUACGUUUAAGUAGCGCUAAUCAUCGUGUUUUUGCUUCCCAUCCCCGACAUACCAGUUACUUAUUCUCACCUCGCGACCCCUAUAAUUAUCGUGUUUUCGCUCCGCGUCCCUGCUAAAAUAGAGAGUUUUCAACCUGCGUCUCCGCAUUUUAACUUGUUAAAUCUCGUAUUUUCGCUCGAAAGGCAGAAUGGUAGAAAUCAGCAAUCAUACGAAAUGGACGCACAAAAAUGUUUACGUUACUGCAAAGUGUGAUACAGGAAUGGGAGAUAGAUAGACGGACGGAAGUACAGACAAAUAAAUUAGUAGGUAGGUACGUAGGUACCAUCCAAUCUAUUCAUCCGUCCGUCCGUCAAUCCAUCUAUUUAUCGUUUCGAUUUGCUAAUAUAAGUCGUGGUCACUAAGUUGUGGCCACAAUUUACAAAGUUGUGGCCACAAUUUAAUAAGUUGUGGCCACAAGUUACUAAAUUGUUGCCACGAUUUACUGAGUUGAGGCCACAAUUUACUAAGUUUAGGUCACGAUUUACUAAGUUGAGGCCACGGUUUACUAAGUUGAGGCCACAAUGUAUUAAAUUGUAGCCACGACUUCGUAAAUUGUGGCCGCAAGUUACUAAAUUGUGGGCACAAUUUACUAAGUUGUGGCCACAAUAUAAAUAAAGUGCUACGGAUGUCACUUCUGUGCCACCGUACCAUUUAACCUAAAGGGUUACACAUAAAAUAAGCCAGAGUGCUUAUAAUGGAGUAAUUAGUUUGCACAUUAAAGGUAUAUUAAUAAGAACUGGGACAAUUACUCGGUUAAUCGGAUCCGAUUCGAUUACUAGGUGAAACCGGUUUCAAUUUUGCAAAACCGCUAAUCGCUC